AUUUAUUUGAAUGUAUCAACUAAUAAAUGAUUAUUCUGAAAUUUCAGGUUCAUUGUCAAAGUACUCGUUGCGGUCAAACAAACCUUACCGGAAAUCCUGAAUAGCUCUUCUAGGGAAUCAGUGUGAUCUUUUACAACCUUAAACAGGUGAAAUCCAGCUUGGAAGCUGCACAAAAUUAUAGGAGAGAGAGAACAUACGAAAUUUCUCGUGUGGCCGGUCCAAUGAACUACGAGGUUUGUCAUGUUUCCGACGAGCUUACAGAGAUUAAUUUUGUACACCGAGUCCAGAAGUAGUUGAACCGGAUGUCCUUCUCCAGUCUGAAGAAAAGAAAACUGCAGUGAGUAUUGUGCUUCUUCCAGCGUAAUUCAUUCAAGAUUUGGAAAACCAAAGACGGGAUUAAAUGAAUCUGGUAAACCUUGCAAACAGAGCGCUGACUCGUCUGAGACGCCAAAGUCUGAGCAUGUUGAGCAAUUUGAAGCCAAUUCCAGUGCUAUGAUUUGUCAACAGGAGGCUGAGCGAUUGAAAUGGCACUGUUGAACAGAGAUCGAAAACAAACCAGGUUGUUAUGUACCUGCAAGUGAAAAAGAUCAUACAAAGAGUGGUCAGUGAUAUCUCAGGAAAAUAAAUAGGAUCGUCAACAAGAAUAUGAGUUUGGCUGUCAAGAUAUGCUACGAAGAAUGUGAGAAUGAUAUCGGUGGCAAAGAAGCAAUUGACAAUGUUGUUGAUUAUGAAAAGCACAUCUUGCUUGUAGCUCAGAAAUGCAAACUCAAACGGGCAGAUCCAGGCUAAGAAAACAACAAAAACGAUCAAGAACCCUUCCCAAGCCCUGAAAUGAAGAACAUUGAAUGAGAAACAGCAGUUCUUGAUGAAAAAAGUGCGUGUUUAGGCAGAGUUAAGAGGUCAUCACCUGUAC